rnacentral:rRNA from 1 species
GUAUAGGCGAUAGAAAAGACCUUCAAGGCGCGAUAGAGAUGAGUACCGUAAGGGAACAAUGAAAUAAAAAUGAAAACAUAAGCAACAAACAGCAAAGAUAAGCCCUUGUACCUUUUGCAUCAUGAUUUAGCAAGAACAACCAAGCAAAACGAACUUAAGCUUGCCACCCCGAAACUCAAGCGAGCUACUUGCAAGCAGCUACCCAUGAGCGAACCCGUCUCUGUUGCAAAAGAGUGGGACGACUUGCCAGUAGAGGUGAAAAGCCAACCGAGCUGAGUGAUAGCUGGUUGCCUGCGAAACGAAUCAAAGUUCCCCCUUAAUGCCUUCCCCAUAGCCCAACACAAACUAGCAUGUAGCAAAUUAAGACCAACUCAAAGGAGGUACAGCUCCUUUGAAAAAGAACACAACCUCUAACAGCGGAUAAACUAACCCCCCAACAUACCUGUGGGCCCUUAAGCAGCCACCAACAAAGAGUGCGUCAAAGCUCCACAACAAAAAAAUCAAAAAACAAUGCGACUCCCUCCCCCCUAGCAGGCCAACCUAUUACAGUAGGAGAAUUAAUGCUAAAAUGAGUAACUUUGGGAAACCCCCCUCUAGGCGCAAACUUACAUCACCAUAUUAUUAACAUACCCAAUGCCACGACCUAAACAAGAACCAAGCAUUUAAUUGACCAUGUUACCCCAACCCAGGAGCGCCCGUCAGAAAGAUUUAAAUCUGUAAAAGGAACUAGGCAAACCCAAGACCCGACUGUUUACCAAAAACAUAGCCUUCAGCAGCCCAAGUAUUGAAGGUGAUGCCUGCCCAGUGACACCACGUUUAACGGCCGCGGUAUCCUAACCGUGCGAAGGUAGCGCAAUCAAUUGUCCCAUAAAUCGAGACCUGUAUGAAUGGCUAAACGAGGCCUUAACUGUCUCCUACAGAAAAUCAGUGAAAUUGAUCUCCCCGUGACAAAGCGAGAAUGUACCCAUAAGACGAGAAGACCCUGUGGAACUUAAAAAUCAACGGCCACCGCACGCAACCCCAAAGCCAAAUAGGCUCACACGACCACUAACGCUGGCCUAUAUUUUUUGGUUGGGGCGACCUUGGAGAAAAACAAAUCCUCCAAACCCAAGAGCACACCUCUUAACUAAGAACAACCCUUCAAAGUGCCAAUAGUGACCAGACCCAAGAUAACUUGAUCAAUGGACCAAGCUACCCCAGGGAUAACAGCGCAAUCCCCCCCAAGAGCCCAUAUCGACGGGGGGGUUUACGACCUCGAUGUUGGAUCAGGACACCCUAAUGGUGCAGCCGCUAUUAAGGGUUCGUUUGUUCAACGAUUAAUAGUCCUACGUGAUCUGAGUUCAGACCGGAGCAAUCCAGGUCGGUUUCUAUCUAUGUAAGACUUUUUCUAGUACGAAAGGACCGAUAAAGUGAGGCCCAUACUA